rnacentral:rRNA from 1 species
UUAAGCGACUAAGCGUACACGGUGGAUGCCCUGGCAGUCAGAGGCGAUGAAGGACGUGCUAAUCUGCGAAAAGCGUCGGUAAGGUGAUAUGAACCGUUAUAACCGGCGAUGUCCGAAUGGGGAAACCCAGUGCAAUUCGUUGCACUAUCGUUAACUGAAUACAUAGGUUAACGAGGCGAACCGGGGGAACUGAAACAUCUAAGUACCCCGAGGAAAAGAAAUCAACCGAGAUUCCCCCAGUAGCGGCGAGCGAACGGGGGAGCAGCCCAGAGUCUGAAUCAGCUUGUGUGUUAGUGGAACGGUCUGGAAAGUCCGACGGUACAGGGUGAUAGUCCCGUACACCAAAAUGCACAGGCUGUGAACUCGAAGAGUAGGGCGGGACACGUGGUAUCCUGUCUGAAUAUGGGGGGACCAUCCUCCAAGGCUAAAUACUCCUGACUGACCGAUAGUGAACCAGUACCGUGAGGGAAAGGCGAAAAGAACCCCGGCGAGGGGAGUGAAAAAGAACCUGAAACCGUGUACGUACAAGCAGUGGGAGCACCUUCGGGUGUGACUGCGUACCUUUUGUAUAAUGGGUCAGCGACUUAUAUUCUGUAGCAAGGUUAACCGUAUAGGGGAGCCGCAGGGAAACCGAGUCUUAACUGGGCGUUAAGUUGCAGGGUAUAGACCCGAAACCCGGUGAUCUAGCCAUGGGCAGGUUGAAGGUUGGGUAACACUAACUGGAGGACCGAACCGACUAAUGUUGAAAAAUUAGCGGAUGACUUGUGGCUGGGGGUGAAAGGCCAAUCAAACCGGGAGAUAGCUGGUUCUCCCCGAAAGCUAUUUAGGUAGCGCCUCGUGAACUCAUCUUCGGGGGUAGAGCACUGUUUCGGCUAGGGGGUCAUCCCGACUUACCAACCCGAUGCAAACUACGAAUACCGAAGAAUGUUAUCACGGGAGACACACGGCGGGUGCUAACGUCCGUCGUGAAGAGGGAAACAACCCAGACCGCCAGCUAAGGUCCCAAAGUCAUGGUUAAGUGGGAAACGAUGUGGGAAGGCACAGACAGCCAGGAUGUUGGCUUAGAAGCAGCCAUCAUUUAAAGAAAGCGUAAUAGCUCACUGGUCGAGUCGGCCUGCGCGGAAGAUGUAACGGGGCUAAACCAUGCACCGAAGCUGCGGCAGCGACACUAUGUGUUGUUGGGUAGGGGAGCGUUCUGUAAGCCUGCGAAGGUGACCUGUGAGGGUUGCUGGAGGUAUCAGAAGUGCGAAUGCUGACAUAAGUAACGAUAAAGCGGGUGAAAAGCCCGCUCGCCGGAAGACCAAGGGUUCCUGUCCAACGUUAAUCGGGGCAGGGUGAGUCGACCCCUAAGGCGAGGCCGAAAGGCGUAGUCGAUGGGAAACAGGUUAAUAUUCCUGUACUUGGUGUUACUGCGAAGGGGGGACGGAGAAGGCUAUGUUAGCCGGGCGACGGUUGUCCCGGUUUAAGCAUGUAGGCUGGUUGUCCAGGCAAAUCCGGAUAAUCAAGGCUGAGGUGUGAUGACGAGGCACUACGGUGCUGAAGUAACAAAUGCCCUGCUUCCAGGAAAAGCCUCUAAGCAUCAGGUAACAUCAAAUCGUACCCCAAACCGACACAGGUGGUCAGGUAGAGAAUACCAAGGCGCUUGAGAGAACUCGGGUGAAGGAACUAGGCAAAAUGGUGCCGUAACUUCGGGAGAAGGCACGCUGGUGUGUAGGUGAAGCCCCUGCGGGUGGAGCUGAGACCAGUCGAAGAUACCAGCUGGCUGCAACUGUUUAUUAAAAACACAGCACUGUGCAAACACGAAAGUGGACGUAUACGGUGUGACGCCUGCCCGGUGCCGGAAGGUUAAUUGAUGGGGUUAUCCGUAAGGAGAAGCUCUUGAUCGAAGCCCCGGUAAACGGCGGCCGUAACUAUAACGGUCCUAAGGUAGCGAAAUUCCUUGUCGGGUAAGUUCCGACCUGCACGAAUGGCGUAAUGAUGGCCAGGCUGUCUCCACCCGAGACUCAGUGAAAUUGAACUCGCUGUGAAGAUGCAGUGUACCCGCGGCAAGACGGAAAGACCCCGUGAACCUUUACUAUAGCUUGACACUGAACAUUGAGCCUUGAUGUGUAGGAUAGGUGGGAGGCUUUGAAGCGUGGACGCCAGUCUGCGUGGAGCCAACCUUGAAAUACCACCCUUUAAUGUUUGAUGUUCUAACGUUGGCCCCUUACCGGGGUUGCGGACAGUGUCUGGUGGGUAGUUUGACUGGGGCGGUCUCCUCCCAAAGCGUAACGGAGGAGCACGAAGGUUAGCUAAUCCUGGUCGGACAUCAGGAGGUUAGUGCAAUGGCAUAAGCUAGCUUGACUGCGAGCGUGACGGCGCGAGCAGGUGCGAAAGCAGGUCAUAGUGAUCCGGUGGUUCUGAAUGGAAGGGCCAUCGCUCAACGGAUAAAAGGUACUCCGGGGAUAACAGGCUGAUACCGCCCAAGAGUUCAUAUCGACGGCGGUGUUUGGCACCUCGAUGUCGGCUCAUCACAUCCUGGGGCUGAAGUAGGUCCCAAGGGUAUGGCUGUUCGCCAUUUAAAGUGGUACGCGAGCUGGGUUUAGAACGUCGUGAGACAGUUCGGUCCCUAUCUGCCGUGGGCGCUGGAGAAUUGAGGGGGGCUGCUCCUAGUACGAGAGGACCGGAGUGGACGCAUCACUGGUGUUCGGGUUGUCAUGCCAAUGGCACUGCCCGGUAGCUAAAUGCGGAAGAGAUAAGUGCUGAAAGCAUCUAAGCACGAAACUUACCCCGAGAUGAGUUCUCCCUGAGACUUUAAGUCUCCUGAAGGAACGUUGAAGACGACGACGUUGAUAGGCCGGGUGUGUAAGCGCAGCGAUGCGUUGAGCUAACCGGUACUAAUGAACCGUGAGGCUUAACCU